rnacentral:rRNA from 1 species
GACGAACGCUGGCGGCGCGCCUAAUACAUGCAAGUUGAGCGCUGAAGGUUGGUACUUGUACCAACUGGAUGAGCAGCGCACGGGUGAGUAACGCGUGGGGAAUCUGCCUUUGAGCGGGGGACAACAUUUGGAAACGAAUGCUAAUACCGCAUAAAAACUUUAAACACAAGUUUUAAGUUUGAAAGAUGCAAUUGCAUCACUCAAAGAUGAUCCCGCGUUGUAUUAGCUAGUUGGUGAGGUAAAGGCUCACCAAGGCGAUGAUACAUAGCCGACCUGAGAGGGUGAUCGGCCACAUUGGGACUGAGACACGGCCCAAACUCCUACGGGAGGCAGCAGUAGGGAAUCUUCGGCAAUGGACGAAAGUCUGACCGAGCAACGCCGCGUGAGUGAAGAAGGGUUUCGGAUCGUAAAACUCUGUUGGUAGAGAAGAACGUUGGUGAGAGUGGAAAGCUCAUCAAGUGACGGUAACUACCCAGAAAGGGACGGCUAACUACGUG